AGCUCCAAUAGCGUAUAUUAAAGUUGUUGCAGUUAAAAAGCUCGUAGUUGGAUUUGUAGCGUUUAAGCGGGCCGAGAGGAUGGUUGGACCUUUACGGUAUCCGGUUCUACGCUCUACGUUCGGCGGUUGAUUACUGGCCUUAACUGGCUGGUGAUUGGCUCCGGACCGUUUACCUUGAAUAAAUUAGAGUGUUCAAAGCAGGCUCUUUAGCCUUGAAUAGUUUAGCAUGGGAUAAUGGAAUACGAUCCCAGUCUAGUUCGUUGGUAAUCUGGACUGGGAUAAUGAUUAAUAGAGAUAGUCGGGGUUAUUCAUAUUCAAUUGUCAGAGGUGAAAUUCUUAGAUUCUUUGAAGAUGAACUGUAGCGAAAGCGUUUAACAAGGAUGCUCUCA
rnacentral:rRNA from 1 species